UAGUGAGCGAAAAUCCGGAGCACUCAUUCCCUCGCACUUCAACAAGUAAUAGAGAAGGGAAGGAAAUGGAACAGGUCCUCUCAUGGUCAAAGAAAAUAUGAAAUCAGUCAGAGAGGAUAAAAACUUUGAAAGAAAAUCAAGCCUGGAUGACUCUUACAGAUUCUGUCAUAUUCUACAAAAUGGGAGUAGGCGCAAAAGCAAGCCUAGAUGAGCUACCGAAGCUGGUGUUAAGUGCAAAUGUGUUCAGUUUUGCUGUUAUGUGCACCUUUGCCAUCAAUUGAUAAAUCAGAAGCAUGGAGAAAGGCUUUGAUGGUUCACCUCUCAUUCCUUAUAUUGCCUUCGUUGUAGUACAUUUCUAUAGUUUCGGAGUUCGUUGGUUAUUGUUUGUACAUAAGAAUACCACGUUUAUAGGUGAAGAUUCUAGAGUUUUGUACUGUUCUUGAAUGUAAAUUACGUAACACUUAAUGAUUGAGAGUUCGGUACUGGUCU